CCCUUAGAUGCUCUGGGCCGCACGCGCGCUACACUGGUCGAUGCAACGAGUUUCUUUCCUUGGCCGACAGGCCUGGGCAAUCUUUGAACAUCGAUCGUGAUCGGGAUAGAUUCUUGUAAUUUUUGAUCUUAAACGAGGAAUUCCUAGUAAACGCAAGUCAUCAGCUUGCAUUGAUUACGUCCCUGCCCUUUGUACACACCGCCCGUCGCACCUACCGAUUGAGUGGUCCGGUGAAAUCUCCGGACUGGCGUGAGUCGGAGCAAUCUGACAAACACCGGAAAGUUGAUUAAACCUUACCAUUUAGAGGAAGGUGAAGUCGUAACA
rnacentral:rRNA from 1 species